rnacentral:rRNA from 1 species
AUACAGAGGGUGCAAGCGUUAAUCGGAAUUACUGGGCGUAAAGCGCGCGUAGGCGGUUUGUUAAGUCGGAUGUGUAAUCCCCGGGCUCAACCUGGGAACUGCAUUCGAAACUGGCGAGCUAGAGUAUGGUAGAGGAUAGUGGAAUUCCGGGUGUAGCGGUGAAAUGCGUAGAUAUCCGGAGGAACAUCAGUGGCGAAGGCGGCUAUCUGGACCAAUACUGACGCUGAGGUGCGAAAGCGUGGGGAGCAAACAGGAUUAGAAACCCUAGUAGUCC